rnacentral:rRNA from 1 species
AUACAGAGGGUGCGAGCGUUAAUCGGAAUUACUGGGCGUAAAGCGCGCGUAGGCGGUCUAUUAAGUCAGAUGUGAAAUCCCAGGGCUCAACCUUGGAACUGCAUCUGAUACUGGUAGACUAGAGUUUUGGAGAGGGAAGUAGAAUUUCAGGUGUAGCGGUGAAAUGCAUAGAGAUCUGAAGGAAUACCAGUGGCGAAGGCGACUUCCUGGCCAAAAACUGACGCUGAGGUGCGAAAGCGUGGGUAGCAAACGGGAUUAGAAACCCGAGUAGUCC